rnacentral:rRNA from 1 species
CAGGCCUAACACAUGCAAGUCGAACGACACAGUGGCUGACGGGUGAGUAACGCGUGGGAACGUGCCCUUCAGUACGGAAUAGCUUCUGGAAACGGAAGGUAAUACCGUAUACGCCCUCCGGGGGAAAGAUUUAUCGCUGAAGGAUCGGCCCGCGUUAGAUUAGCUUGUUGGUGAGGUAAUGGCUCACCAAGGCGACGAUCUAUAGCUGGUCUGAGAGGAUGAUCAGCCACACUGGGACUGAGACACGGCCCAGACUCCUACGGGAGGCAGCAGUGGGGAAUCUUGCACAAUGGGCGAAAGCCUGAUGCAGCCAUGCCGCGUGAAUGAUGAAGGCCCUAGGGUUGUAAAAUUCUUUCAUCAGGGACGAUAAUGACGGUACCUGAAGAAGAAGCCCCGGCUAACUUCGUGCCAGCAGCCGCGGUAAUACGAAGGGGGCUAGCGUUGUUCGGAAUUACUGGGCGUAAAGCGCGCGUAGGCGGACUAUUAAGUCAGAUGUGAAAUCCCGGGGCUCAACCUCGGAACUGCAUUUGAAACUGGUAGUCUAGAGGCCAGGAGAGGUUAGUGGAAUGCCGAGUGUAGAGGUGAAAUUCGUAGAUAUUCGGUGGAACACCAGUGGCGAAGGCGACUGACUGGACUGGUACUGACGCUGAGGUGCGAAAGUGUGGGGAGCAAACAGGAUUAGAUACCCUGGUAGUCCACACCGUAAACGAUGAGUGCUAGUUGUCGGCAGGCAUGCCUGUCGGUGACGCAGCUAACGCAUUAAGCACUCCGUCCUAGGGAGUACGGCCGCCAGGUUAAAACUCAAAGAAAUUGACCGGGGGCCCGCACAAGCGGUGGAGCAUGUGGUUUAAUUCGAAAGCACGCGCAGAAGCUUUACUAACCUUUGACAUGCCCGGUUUGGUCGGCAGAGAUGGCUUCCUUGAUUGGUUAGCCGGUGGCACAAGUGCUGCAUGGCUGUCGGCAGCUCGUGUCGUGAGAUGGUGGGUUAAGUCCCGCAACGAGCGCAACCCUCAUCUUUAGUUGCCAUCAGGUGUGGCUGGGCACUUUAAGGUAACUGCCGGUGGCAAGCCGGAGGAAGGUGGGGAUGACGUCAAGUCAUCAUGGCCAUUACGGGUAGGGCUACACACGUGCUACAAUGGCAGUGACAAUGGGGAUAAUCCCUAGAAACUGUCUCAGUUCGGAUUGUCGUCUGCAACUCGACGGCAUG